CGAGCAAAAAUCAUUGUUGAU
rnacentral:miRNA from 1 species